UACGUAGGUGACAAGCGUUGUUCGGAAUUACUGGGCGUAAAGGGCGCGUAGGCGGCUGCCUAAGUCAGACGUGAAAUCCCUCGGCUCAACCGGGGAACUGCGUCUGAUACUGGAUGGCUUGAGUUCGGGAGAGGGAUGCGGAAUUCCAGGUGUAGCGGUGAAAUGCGUAGAUAUCUGGAGGAACACCGGUGGCGAAGGCGGCAUCCUGGGCCGAUACUGACGCUGAGGAGCGAAAGCCAGGGGAGCAAACGGG
rnacentral:rRNA from 1 species